UNUGACCUCAAAUCAGGUANGACUACCCGCUGAACUUAAG
rnacentral:rRNA from 1 species